GGACUACUCGGGUAUCUAAUCCCGUUCGCUCCCCUGGCUUUCGCGCUUCAGCGUCAGUGUCGGCCCAGCAACCCGCCUUCGCCGCAGGUGUUCCUCUCGAUAUCUACGCAUUUCACCGCUACACCGAGAAUUCCAGUUGCCCCUUCCGCACUCUAGCCGCGCAGUAUCAGUUGACCUUUCCGAGUUAAGCCCGGAGAUUUCACAACUGACUUGCGCUGGCCGCCUACGCGCCCUUUACGCCCAGUAAAUCCGAACAACGCUUGCUCCCCCCGUAUUACCGCGGCGGCUGACAC
rnacentral:misc_RNA from 1 species